CUUGUGUUCAGUAUCCAAGCACUGAAAAGCUUUGGCUACAUUUGUGAAUUGCAGAUUCAGCUGUUGACCUUCAGGAGUCUCACUUUGGCCAAUCCUUUGUAAGAAUGACAAUGUCUGUCUUUGUAAAGCACCAAAAAUAUCAAAGACCAAACUAGAUGUUUGCUGAACUACAAAGUUGACAGUAGACAGGGUCAUAGAUGAUUUUGUCCUCAAUUUUGAUAAAAACAAGUCCACUCGAUCUGUGAAAGUGUUCUGCUCUAACUCAUCCCGUUCCAUGUCAUCAGCAGCAUUAUCUUCAGCAGCGUUAUCUUCAGCAUUAUCUUGAGCAGCAUUAUCUUCAGCAGCAUUAUCAUCAGCAGCGUUAUCUUCAGCAGCGUUAUCUUCAGCAGCAUUAUCAUCAGCAGCAUUAUCUUCAACAGCAUUAUCAUCAACAGGAUUAUCAUCAGCAGAAUUAUCUUCAGCAGCAUUAUCUUCAGCAGCAUUAUCUUGAGCAGCAUUAUCUUCAGCAGCGUUAUCAUCAGCAGCAUUAUCUUCAACAGCAUUUUCAUCAGCAGCAUUAUCAUCAGCAGCAUUAUCUUCAGCAGCGUUAUCUUCAACAGCGUUAUCUUCAGCAGCGUUAUCUUCAGCAGCGUUAUCUUCAGCAUUAUCAUCAGCAGCAUUAUCUUCAACAGCAUUAUCAUCAGCAGCAUUAUCAUCAGCAGCAUUAUCUUCAGUAGCAUUAUCUUCAGCAGCGUCAUCUUCAGCAGCGUCGUCAUCAGCAGCGUCGUCAUCAGCAGCAUUAUCUUCAGCAGCAUUAUCAUCAGCAGCAUUAUCAGCAGCGUUAUCUUCAGCAGCGUUAUCUUCAACAGCGUUAUCAUCAGCAGCAUCAUCAUCAGCAUUAUCUUCAGCAGCAUUAUCUUCAGCAUUAUCUUCAGUAGCAUUAUCUUGAGCAGCAUUAUCUUCAGCAGCGUUAUCAUCAGCAGCAUUAUCUUCAACAGCAUUUUCAUCAGCAGCAUUAUCAUCAGCAGCAUUAUCAUCAGCAGCAUUAUCAUCAGCAGCGUUAUCUUCAGCAGCGUUAUCUUCAGCAGCGUUAUCUUCAACAGCGUUAUCUUCAGCAGCGUUAUCUUCAGCAGCGUUAUCUUCAGCAUUAUCAUCAGCAGCAUUAUCUUCAACAGCAUUAUCAUCAGCAGCAUUAUCAUCAGCAGCAUUAUCUUCAGUAGCGUUAUCUUCAGCAGCG
rnacentral:lncRNA from 1 species